rnacentral:rRNA from 1 species
GACGAACGCUGGCGGCGUGCCUAACACAUGCAAGUCGAGCGAAGUAUCUAGAAAAGAUUUUUUCGGAAUGAUUUUCUAGAUAUUUUAGCGGCGGACGGGUGAGUAAUACGUGAGCAACCUGCCUUUCACAAAGGGAUAGCCUCGGGAAACUGGGAUUAAUACCAUAUGAAACUUGAGAAUCACAUGAAUUUCAAGUUAAAGCGUAAAGCGGUGAAAGAUGGGCUCACGUCCCAUUAGUUAGUUGGUGAGGUAACGGCUCACCAAGACUACGAUGGGUAGCCGGCCUGAGAGGGUGAACGGCCACACUGGAACUGAGACACGGUCCAGACUCCUACGGGAGGCAGCAGUGGGGAAUAUUGCACAAUGGAGGAAACUCUGAUGCAGCGACGCCGCGUGAACGAUGAAGGCCUUCGGGUCGUAAAGUUCUGUCCUUGGGGACGAUAAUGACGGUACCCAAGGAGG